rnacentral:rRNA from 1 species
GACGGAGGAUGCAAGCGUUAUCCGGAAUGAUUGGGCGUAAAGCGUCCGCAGGUGGCAGUUCAAGUCUGCUGUCAAAGACCGGGGCUUAACUUCGGAAAGGCAGUGGAAACUGAACAGCUAGAGUAUGGUAGGGGCAGAGGGAAUUCCUGGUGUAGCGGUGAAAUGCGUAGAGAUCAGGAAGAACAUCGGUGGCGAAGGCGACUUUCUGGGCUGUAACUGACGCUGAGGCGCGAAAGCGUGGGGAGCAAACAGG